rnacentral:rRNA from 1 species
UACGUAGGGGGCAAGCGUUGUCCGGAUUUAUUGGGCGUAAAGAGCGUGUAGGCGGCCAGGUAGGUGGGUUGUGAAAACUGGAGGCUUAACCUUCAGAGGUCGACCCAAACCCCCUGGCUAGAGUCCGGAAGAGGAGAGUGGAAUUCCUGGUGUAGCGGUGAAAUGCGCAGAUAUCAGGAAGAACACCCGUGGCGAAGGCGGCUCUCUGGGACGGUACUGACGCUGAGACGCGAAAGCGUGGGGAGCGAACAGG